AAUGUCUUCUCUACCAAGUGAAUCUCUGACUCUACAAGUUUCCUUCCCAAGACACUGUGGUCCAGGGCUACCUCCCUUACAGCCUACAUGACAACAUGUGCAAAUUAUUUGUCAGCAUCUAAUUGCAAGAACGGUGAGGAAACCAAGGCACAGAGGUUAAACAACGUGUCCAAGCCACGUAGCAAGUAAACAAUUGAGCCAGGCUCCAAAUCCAAACGUUCUGGCGUCAGAGUCCUAUAAAGAUUUUUUUGGCCUAAUGUGAGGAAGUACUUUCUAAGAAUAAGAGUUUACCAAUUAAAAGGGGGUUGCUGUUUUAUGAAGAUAUUUAAACCAAGGCUGAGGGGCCAUUUUCAAGGGAUGCUGACUCGGUAAAAGUUCUUUGGCAGCAAGCAUCAGAAACCAAAUGUAACAACUUUAAGCUAAAAAAUAAAAAGAAGGAAGAGGAAGAAGAGAAGAUGGGGUUGAGGGAGGAGGACAGGAGAGCUGCCUGCCUAGAGGAAACAGGGAGCCUUUAGCCUGCUCCUCCAGGCUCAACAUUUGACAGGGGCAUGACCAUGUCCAGCAUUGCUGAGUAACUGGGAAGAGAAGCCCACUGUUGCUGCACACCCUACGCCAAGCCUUCAAACAGUCCCAGCAGUAAUCAAGGUGAUAUACUGACUUUUUUCUGACUGGCUCCUGUGUCUAUCUCUCUCAUUUUUUCUAACUUAGGCAAAGAAUGGGAAAGUCAUUUAUCAGGCCCCCCGAAAUCAUAUUGUUGAUCCUCUAAAUGACCUUAUCAAGUACGUACAAUCUUUAUUUGACAGAUGAAGACACUGAUGAACAGAAAGGUUAAAGAAUUUACUCAAGGUCAGUCAUCCAACAAAUGAGUUUAGAACCCAAACUUUUGGACCCCAAGUUAAAGCUCUUUCUCCGACUGCACUAUAAAGUAGGGGCUCAAUAAACGUGUGUUGAAAUGAAUCAAAACGGUGAGAGAAUAUUGCCAGGCAGCACAAAGCUUGGAUGAAAUUUUUCAAAAUUUUUGCUGGUGAUUUUAAGCUUCAGAUGAAGUCUUUGACAUUUACGAUUCUCUUAAUAAACACUUUAUAAAACUCCAAAUCCACGUUUCUGCCUUGAAGGAUCACCAUCAGUUGGAAUAUAUUUUUACGCUAUCCUCUGCCAUCUUUGAAGGAGGAACAGAUUAGGGAAAAAAUGCUUUAUUUACCAGUGUAAUUAGAAUGAAAAUAUAAUGUUUAACUUUCAUGGAGACAGACUGAAAUAUGAAUAGUCAUGUAGUUUUUUGAAAUUAAAUUUCUAUUCUAGGAGGCCAACACUCUACUCUCUCUGGCUUUCAAACUUCCACAUUAAGACUUGGGAAGUAAAAAUGCUUUGGGAAUGAAACUGGAUGAAUGGACAUGUUUGUGCCAGUAUUCUGGGGGGACUCUUUUUCCUCUCAAAAUCCCAGUAGAUCACUGGUCACGUUUAGAAUCUUCAAAUAUGUGCUAAAAAAAUGUUUUGGGGAGAAAACAAUCUCCCACUCUCCUUGCCGAGAUGGAAUUCCAAGAUUGUUGGGCAAGAUGAAGUAAACGAUUUUCAGGAGAAUCGCUGUUUUCCACACUGAAUUGACAUGCAUUUCUGCCUCACCUGGUUCCUACACACACCAGCCCCAACUAAUGUUAGGCUUUGAAUCACUGAAAUGCCUGCCACACCUUAACAGCAAAGAUUCAGACAAGAUAUUGAGUAAGCAAGUUUAUGAAUUUUUUUAAAGAGAAUGAUUUCUUAGUUAGACUUGUGUUCAACAAAAUAUUCUAGCAUGUGGUUUCACAAAUACAGGUGAACCAUCUGGCCAGCCUAGGUUAGCUCUCUGCUGUCAGUGCUGUAAAUCUUGCAUUCUCUUUCACUCAUGUUUCACACAUGGAAUUAACUCUUCUUUGUCCUCCUGUCCUGUUAUACAAUAGAAGCUCCAAGUCUUAUUCACAACUUUGAGUCUAGUGUGUGGCUGUAUAGAACAGAGAUUAAGAGCAUGGGUUCAAGGGUACGAUGGACCUGGAUUUGAAUUCAACCGAGCAACUUUUUGUGUGACUUAGAGGUAGUCACACCACAUUACUCAGUUUUCUCAUCUGUAAAUUGAUAAUAGUUCUUACCUCAUAGAACUAUUGUGAAAAUUAAAUUCACUCACAUAUGUAAAGCAUUUAGCUUGCCCCGGCAGUAAAUAUUCACUACUAUUAUUGCAUUAAGUGCUAAAAGAGUAUUUCAAGUAGAAUUUUUAAAAUAAGAGUGAGCCUAGGCACAGGGAAUGCAUCAAACUGGCCUCAUUAGGGAGAAUUCUCCAGCCAACUGGGAUAUUGCCUGACUGGGUUCUGGGAGGUCCUCAACUGAGACCACAAGGGGCAAAUGAGCAGAUCAUAAGCAGCCCUGGAGGCACCAGCUCUUAAGGUGUUAGCCCUCAUCUCCCCAGAGCAGUGGGAACUGAGUUACUCUGAGACUCUGUUCCCAAGAAGAAAGUGAUUCAGAGCAAAGGAGACAAGUUCCACUGUGGAGGAAGUGUGCCCAGGUCCCUCACCGGCCCCGGACAUGCCGUCUGGGAGGCUAUCAGCUCAGAGCCCACACCAGCUUCCUCUGCUAUUGUUCAGCACUCACCAUUCUUCUGAUAACCCGGCUGUGGGAACCACUGCCCAGACGCCGGGCCAACACAGAGGCACGACUACAGCUGGGAAGAGUCUCUCCUUCACAUGACGACUGAGCUCUGUAGGGGGUUGUGAUGGAGAAGACUGAGACGGGGCAAUCUAAGGCCCAAACGUGGCCCAGUGUUAAGCAUAUUGAGAAACCCAAUACCAAUCUGGUGAAUUGAAUAGUUUUGCAAAACUAAGGAAAAUUAACAGUCUCCACAAAAAAGUGUUUAUCCAAGUGUUAAAGUACUUAAUUGUUCUCAAAAAACCAAAUUGUCCCCAUUCUGAACAUUUUUUUGAACUUUCUCAAUUGCAGUUAGUCUUCUGGGACAUUGAAGAAGGCCUAGAACUCAAUCAAGGAACAAAAAUAUCUAAGCAUUGUAUUUAAAAAACAUGUGUUAGAGGUUUAUUACCUUAGGAGAUUUUUAAAUAUCAUUUAUCUGUUAAAUUUAGUUGUUGCAUCAGACAUUUUGCUCAUUUUUCCCUUUAAUAAUUA
rnacentral:lncRNA from 1 species